AAGACUUUAAGUUAAAUAAACUAAAAACCUUCAAAGUUUUAAAUAGACAUAUUCUAAGUCUUG
rnacentral:tRNA from 1 species